rnacentral:rRNA from 1 species
AUUGAACGCUGGCGGCAUGCUUUACACAUGCAAGUCGAACGGCAGCGGGGGCUUCGGCCUGCCGGCGAGUGGCGAACGGGUGAGUAAUGCAUCGGAACGUGCCCAGUCAUGGGGGAUAACUACGCGAAAGCGUAGCUAAUACCGCAUACGCCCUGAGGGGGAAAGCGGGGGAUCGCAAGACCUCGCGUGAUUGGAGCGGCCGAUGUCGGAUUAGCUAGUUGGUGGGGUAAAGGCCUACCAAGGCGACGAUCCGUAGCGGGUCUGAGAGGAUGAUCCGCCACACUGGGACUGAGACACGGCCCAGACUCCUACGGGAGGCAGCAGUGGGGGAAUUUUGGACAAUGGGGGCAACCCUGAUCCAGCCAUGCCGCGUGAGUGAAG